AGAGUUUGAUCCUGGCUCAGAACGAACGCUGGCGGCGUGGCUAAGACAUGCAAGUCAAACGGUCCAGUAAUUUAUUAUUGGAUAGUGGCGAAAGGGUUAGUAAUGGAUAGGUAACGUGCCCUCCGCUUCGGAAUAGCGUCGUUCGCCUUCGGGCGAACUUCCGAAAGGGGCAAUAAUACCGAAUAAUAUUACUUGUCGAUGGGCAAGUAAUCAAAGAUUUAUCGGCAGAGGAGCGGCCUAUCUCUUAUCAGCUUGUUGGUGAGGUAAUGGCUCACCAAGGCUAUGACGGGUAGCGGGACUGAGAGGUUGACCCGCAACAUCGGGACUGAGACACUGCCCGGACCUCCACGGAGGGCUGCAGUAACGAAUAUUGCGCAAUGGGCCAAAGCCUGACGCAGCGACGCCGCGUGCGGGAGGAAGUCCUUCGGGAUGUAAACCGCUGUCAGGGAUUAGAAAGUCCGCUUCGGCGGAUUGAUCAGUCCCAAAGGAAGUCACGGCUAACUUCGUGCCAGCAGCCGCGGUAAGACGAAGGUGGCAAGCGUUGUUCGGUAUCACUGGGCUUAAAGCGUGUGUAGGCGGAAAAGUAAGCGUCCUGUGAAAGCCCUCGGCUUAACCGAGGAAUUGCGCAACGAACUGCUUUUCUUGAGGCAAGUAGGGGUGCAUGGAACUCUUGGUGGAGCGGUGGAAUGCGUAGAUAUCAAGAGGAACGCCAGUGGUGAAAACGGUGCACUGGGCUUGUCCUGACGCUGAGACACGAAAGCGUGGGGAGCGAACGGGAUUAGAUACCCCGGUAGUCCACGCCGUAAACGAUGCCUACUAGGUUGUGGAAGUUCUGACACUUGCACAGCCGAAGCAAAAGUGCUAAGUAGCCGCCUGGAGAGUACGGGUCGCAAGGCUAAACUCAAAGGAAUUGACGGGGCUCACACAAGCGGUGGGAGCAUGUGGAUUAAUUCGAAGCAACGCGCAAACCUUACCUGGAUUUGAAAUGCCUGGAUGCGCCUUGGAAACAGGGGUUUGCUGCCUUUCGGGGUGAAACUUGCCAAGGUGCUGGCAUGGCUGUCGUCAGCCUCGGAUCAGGGAUGUCCGGUUAAGUUCUUUUAAGGAGCAAACCCUUACGUAGUGACAGCGGUCAUUGGCCGGGAACUCUUACGGGACU
rnacentral:rRNA from 1 species